rnacentral:lncRNA from 1 species
GUCAGUCUGUGAUGCCUGCUGGUGUUGAUAAAAUCUCCACUGCUCAGAAAUAUGUUCUAGCAAGACGGCGCUUGGUGAAGGUGAUCAACAAUCGAGCUAAACUGCUUUCCCUUUGUUCUUGGGGCUGAUCCAGCUCUAGAAGAAUGGAGGAGGUCUGCUAUUAUGCUGAUUCUUAUUGCUGGAGUGGGCCUCUGUGACUGAUGGCCAUAUAUUGGAUCCCUUAGGUGGAAGGAAAUAGAGAAAAGCUGAGAACCCUGAUUCCUUCGCCUCAGAAACCAAUCUAGAUUUUAGAAGUGGGCUGGCUAUAGUGAGCCAACAUGAUUUAGACCAGCUUCAGGCUGAUGCAAUCAACGCUUUUGGAGAAUCACUACAAAAGAAACUUCUGGACAUUGAAGGAUUAUAUUCAAAAGUUCGAUCUCGAUAUAGUUUCAUACAGGCUCUUGUCAGACGUAUCCGUGGCCUCUUGAGGAUAUCAAGGAACUGAGAGCCCGUGCUUAUGCUCUUCUAUGAGAGAGAUGAAUUGGGGAGAAUUGUCUCCAUUUUAUAGAUUAGUUUCUUUCUAAAUUAUGACCAAAAAUAUUUUGCUAUUUCUUUCUUUGUAUAUGGACAUCUUUUCUGUAAACUUCUUCCCCUAGUUCCAUCCUCACUAGUAA